UACAGAGGUCUCAACCGUUGUUCGGAUUCAUUGGGCGUAAAGGGUGCGUAGGCGGUCGUGCAAGUCGGAUGUGAAAUCUCCGGGCUUAACCCGGAAACUGCCAUUGAUACUAUCUGUCUUGAAUACCGUGGAGGUAAGCGGAAUAUGUCAUGUAGCGGUGAAAUGCUUAGAUAUGACAUAGAACACCAAUUGCGAAGGCAGCUUACUACACGUACUAUUGACACUGAGGCACGAAAGCGUGGGGAUCAAACAGG
rnacentral:rRNA from 1 species